AGUAUACACAAGGAAGGGACUGUAUGAUUCAAACAAAAAUUUAUCAUAAUUGAUAAUCAUAGCUUCAGAAUAUGCUAAACUGCAUUAUAUGUGUUGCCAGUUUGUGACAGAAUAACAAUAACAAGCUGUUUGGUUGGAGAAUAACUAUGUAGGAGAAGUACAACCUUCAAUGAAGAUAAAGUUCAAAUUCAUCAAUAAUAUCCUUCUACUUUACAAUAUCACCAUAUGUGUUAUCAAAGAGAAGUAUAACUUACAAAUUCAGCUGCAGACUGCAAGUUCCAUUUAGUAUGCCUCGUCUCCAUGACAUUUAAAUGAAGGACAAACUGAACUGCAAUUUGAGAUUGGAUAAUUGCAAAUUUACUUGGGUGUUCCAAUUACUGCUGGAUAUGAAUACACCCUCCAAUCACCUGAAAUACCCAGUAAUUUGCACUGAAGGUAGCACUUAUGCUUAUCUGCCAUGUCAGCAGCAAAGGUCAUUGGUGGGGAAAGCAUCAUAUAUUUCAUAAAAAAAAUUAAAUUCACCCUAGGUAGGGCAUGUUAAAUUAAAAGCUUGAUUUGCUUUAAUAAUUUUAGACAUUAAUUUAAAACUUCUAUUCCUUCAGGUCUUACAAAAUAACCUUAUGACAACAAUAUUUGUCUUCUCUAAAUUAGUUUGAAUUGCCUCUUUGAUAUGCAGAAGUAUAUGGCCAACCAAAAUGGCUCUAUUAUGCCUGACACUUAAUAUCAGUUUAUCCAACAGCAAAUAAAAUAGCAGAAUAAUUAUAAAUGCUUUCCCAUAUAUGAAACAUAACAGAAAGUAAUGUUUAUAGUGAUGGAUAAUGUAACAAAUGUGGUAGAAUCAAAAUAAAGUUUAAUUAUCAUGUUUAA